rnacentral:lncRNA from 1 species
GUUAGUUCGAAGAAAGCGCAGGAGAAUAAUAUAAGGAGAAUAAGUAAAAAAAUCGAGGAAAAACAUUUCGUAUAGAAAAAUAGAAUGAAAAAAUGAGGAAAAUAGGCAACAUAGUCAGGAGAACAACUAUAUAGUUGCACCGACCGUCCCUCAAGCAAGUGACAAAGGGCUUGGUGGUUGGUACCCGAGACCCAAGUUCGAAUUUUAGUUGAUUCACAUUUCCAGCUAAGUUUAUUUCUAAAUGAAAUAAAUGAAGCGGAUAGCGUGCUACCUAUCUCUCAAAAAAAAAGAAAAAAAGAAAAAAAAACUAUAUAGUUGCAUUUCUACACAUUCUAAGCAAAAUUUUAU